GACGUAGGAGGCGAGCGUUGUCCGGAUUCAUUGGGCGUAAAGAGCGCGCAGGCGGCUUGGUAAGUCGGAUGUGAAAUCCCGAGGCUCAACCUCGGGUCUGCAUCCGAUACUGCCCGGCUAGAGGUAGGUAGGGGAGAUCGGAAUUCCUGGUGUAGCGGUGAAAUGCGCAGAUAUCAGGAGGAACACCGGUGGCGAAGGCGGAUCUCUGGGCCUUACCUGACGCUCAGGCGCGAAAGCUAGGGGGAGCGAACUGG
rnacentral:rRNA from 1 species